GACGAACGCUGGCGGCGCGCCUAACACAUGCAAGUCGAACGAGAGAUGAAGAGCUUGCUCUUCAAAUCGAGUGGCGAACGGGUGAGUAACGCGUGAGGAACCUGCCUCAAAGAGGGGGGACAACAGUUGGAAACGACUGCUAAUACCGCAUAAGCCCACGGCUCGGCAUCGAGCAGAGGGAAAAGGAGUGAUCCGCUUUGAGAUGGCCUCGCGUCCGAUUAGCUAGUUGGUGAGGUAACGGCCCACCAAGGCGACGAUCGGUAGCCGGACUGAGAGGUUGAACGGCCACAUUGGGACUGAGACACGGCCCAGACUCCUACGGGAGGCAGCAGUGGGGAAUAUUGCACAAUGGGGGAAACCCUGAUGCAGCGACGCCGCGUGAGUGAUGAAGGUAUUUCGGUAUGUAAAACUCUAAUCAGCAGGGAGAUAAUGACGGUACCU
rnacentral:rRNA from 1 species